AGUCGAACGAACUCUGGUAUUGAUUGGUGCUUGCAUCAUGAUUUACAUUUGAGUGAGUGGCGAACUGGUGAGUAACACGUGGGAAACCUGCCCAGAAGCGGGGGAUAACACCUGGAAACAGAUGCUAAUACCGCAUAACAACUUGGACCGCAUGGUCCGAGCUUGAAAGAUGGCUUCGGCUAUCACUUUUGGAUGGUCCCGCGGCGUAUUAGCUAGAUGGUGGGGUAACGGCUCACCAUGGCAAUGAUACGUAGCCGACCUGAGAGGGUAAUCGGCCACAUUGGGACUGAGACACGGCCCAAACUCCUACGGGAGGCAGCAGUAGGGAAUCUUCCACAAUGGACGAAAGUCUGAUGGAGCAACGCCGCGUGAGUGAAGAAGGGUUUCGGCUCGUAAAACUCUGUUGUUAAAGAAGAACAUAUCUGAGAGUAACUGUUCAGGUAUUGACGGUAUUUAACCAGAAAGCCACGGCUAACUACGUGCCAGCAGCCGCGGUAAUACGUAGGUGGCAAGCGUUGUCCGGAUUUAUUGGGCGUAAAGCGAGCGCAGGCGGUUUUUUAAGUCUGAUGUGAAAGCCUUCGGCUCAACCGAAGAAGUGCAUCGGAAACUGGGAAACUUGAGUGCAGAAGAGGACAGUGGAACUCCAUGUGUAGCGGUGAAAUGCGUAGAUAUAUGGAAGAACACCAGUGGCGAAGGCGGCUGUCUGGUCUGUAACUGACGCUGAGGCUCGAAAGUAUGGGUAGCAAACAGGAUUAGAUACCCUGGUAGUCCAUACCGUAAACGAUGAAUGCUAAGUGUUGGAGGGUUUCCGCCCUUCAGUGCUGCAGCUAACGCAUUAAGCAUUCCGCCUGGGGAGUACGGCCGCAAGGCUGAAACUCAAAGGAAUUGACGGGGGCCCGCACAAGCGGUGGAGCAUGUGGUUUAAUUCGAAGCUACGCGAAGAACCUUACCAGGUCUUGACAUACUAUGCAAAUCUAAGAGAUUAGACGUUCCCUUCGGGGACAUGGAUACAGGUGGUGCAUGGUUGUCGUCAGCUCGUGUCGUGAGAUGUUGGGUUAAGUCCCGCAACGAGCGCAACCCUUAUUAUCAGUUGCCAGCAUUAAGUUGGGCACUCUGGUGAGACUGCCGGUGACAAACCGGAGGAAGGUGGGGAUGACGUCAAAUCAUCAUGCCCCUUAUGACCUGGGCUACACACGUGCUACAAUGGAUGGUACAACGAGUUGCGAACUCGCGAGAGUAAGCUAAUCUCUUAAAGCCAUUCUCAGUUCGGAUUGUAGGUUGCAACUCGCCUACAUGAAGUCGGAAUCGCUAGUAAUCGCGGAUCAGCAUGCCGCGGUGAAUACGUUCCCGGGCCUUGUACACACCGCCCGUCACACCAUGAGAGUU
rnacentral:rRNA from 2 species